UGGGUUGUGGCUCAGUGGCAGAGUGCUUGCCUGGCAUGGGCAAAACACUGGGUUCAAUUCUCAGCACCGCAU
rnacentral:tRNA from 1 species